UGAAGGAGCAGAAAUUUGCGAAAAUUGAUCGAGGGAAUGGAGGAUUUUGAGAAGAAGGUAUCCAUAUCAGAACCAGUGGCCAUCGCUGAACCAGAAAAUAUGGAGAUUCAAGCUGAAGAGAAACUAUAAAAGGACUCAAACAAUUCGAGGUUUGCUCCGUAGAUUCCUCGCUGUUUAGCAGGCUCCGCGCCUUCGCUUAUCCGACUCAAACGGAAUUUUGAAGAUUAUAGAGUUUCGGGAGGUGAAUUGGCUUACCAGCAGCUUUGCAGAGAGAUCACUCUCGAGUUCAAUGAUUGAUCGAAGCAGGUCAGUCUCACUGAAUCAUGGCACUAUUGAAAGUGAUCAUGUUUCUUAUGUUCUUACCUAGGAAAUAAUUUCAAGUGUGGAAAACAAUUUUGAUGUUGCUGAACAAAUUUUACAAGUUCAUGAAUGACCAUGGUGUAUUAGCUGGAUUAGGAGUGUUUCUUCUCGAGUUUAAUGAUUGUUCGAAGCAGGUCGGUCUCACUGAAUCAUGGCACUAUCGAAAGUGAUCGUGAUUCUUAUGUUAGUACAUGGGAGUGAUAAUGUCAACUAAGUGUGGAAGACAAGCUUUGAUGUUGCUGAACAAAUUUUAGCUAGUUUAUGACCAUAGUGUAUUAGCUAGAUUAGGAGUGUUUACUCUCGAGUUCAAUGAUUGUUCAAAGAAGGUCGGUCUCACUGAAUCAUGGCACUGUUGAAAGGGAUCAUGUUUCUUAAGUUAAUACCUGGGAAUAAUAAUUUCGAGAGUGUGGAAGACAAUAUGAUGCCGCUGAACAAAUUUUAACUAGUUCGUGACCGUGGUGCAUUAAGUAGGUGUUUUGGGUGCAUUUGUUAUCUCGGUUUAUUGAAUGGCCUGCUGCUUUUGCUUAUGUGGAAUGCAUUUGUGAUGAUGGUGCUUGAAAUGGAAUCAGUAUUUGCAAGCCUGGCUUAUUGCAGAGAGGAUCUGGCUAGCUGGCUGAGAUCAGUUCAAGUACAAGAAAAAAGAGAAAUUGAAUUUAACGGCUACAAUUCAAGUGCUGAAGAAGGCCAGACGGCCCUCAGAACGCUAGGUAAGCCAUGAAAACUGCAGAUAUACGGGGCACAAAUGCAUGCACAUCCAGCAAAUAACUGAGGAAUCUGGAACCAAGGAGGCUGAGCCCGAUUCUGAAUACGAUAAUGCCCUCAAGGAAGCUGUUAAAGGCAUGCAAGACGCGGUCAUUUCUAUAACCGUUUACUUGGAAGAAGUCCGGUAAGAGAUUGCAGCACUGGAUGACGAAUAACACUCUUUCUUUUGGUGGUGCAAGUGCAAGGGUGAUCCAAUCCAUCAUGGAUGCUUUCAGUUUAAUGCAAUUAUACUCUAUUCAUCCUAAGUUAAUUGAAUCGUAUUCUUUUUUUGGAAUGUAUUAUGUUAAAUUUUUCAUCAGGCGGAAAAAUCAACCAUUUUUUAUUCUUCUUA